GGGCGUAAAGCGCGCGCAGGCGGCCUGACAAGUCAGGAGUGAAAUCCCAAGGCUUAACCUUGGAAUUGCCUUUGAAACUGUUAGGCUAGAGUCCGGAAGAGGAUGGUGGAAUACCUAGUGUAGAGGUGAAAUUCGUAGAUAUUAGGUGGAACACCAGUGGCGAAGGCGGCCAUCUGGUCCGGUACUGACGCUGAGGCGCGAAAGCGUGGGGAUCAAACAGGAUUAGAUACCCUGGUAGUCCACGCUGUAAACGAUGAGUGCUAGAUGUCGGCUCCUUUAGGGGUCGGUGUCGCAGCUAACGCGUUAAGCACUCCGCCUGGGGAGUACGGUCGCAAGAUUAAAACUCAAAGGAAUUGACGGGGACCCGCACAAGCGGUGGAGCAUGUGGUUUAAUUCGAGGCAACGCGAAGAACCUUACCAGGCCUUGACAUGUCCAGUAUGAUCGGCAGAGAUGCCUUUCUUCAGUUCGGCUGGCUGGAACACAGGUGCUGCAUGGCUGUCGUCAGCUCGUGUCGUGAGAUGUUGGGUUAAGUCCCGCAACGAGCGCAACCCUCAUCCCUUGUUGCUAACAGGUAAUGCUGAGAACUCUAGGGAAACCGCCGGCGUCAAGCCGGAGGAAGGUGGGGACGACGUCAAGUCAUCAUGGCCCUUACGGCCUGGGCUACACACGUGCUACAAUGGCGGUGACAGUGGGCAGCGAGCCAGCAAUGGUCAGCUAAUCUCAAAAAGCCGCCUCAGUUCAGAUUGUCCUCUGCAACUCGAGGGCAUGAAGUCGGAAUCGCUAGUAAUC
rnacentral:rRNA from 1 species